rnacentral:rRNA from 1 species
CCUACGGGUGGCAGCAGUGGGGAAUAUUGGACAAUGGGCGAAAGCCUGAUCCAGCCAUGCCGCGUGUGUGAAGAAGGCCUUCGGGUUGUAAAGCACUUUCAGUGGGGAAGAAAGCCUUGGGGCUAAUACCCUCGAGGAAGGACAUCACCCACAGAAGAAGCACCGGCUAACUCCGUGCCAGCAGCCGCGGUAAUACGGAGGGUGCGAGCGUUAAUCGGAAUUACUGGGCGUAAAGCGCGCGUAGGCGGUCUGAUAAGCCGGUUGUGAAAGCCCGGGGCUCAACCUGGGAACGGCAUCCGGAACUGUCAGGCUAGAGUGCAGGAGAGGAAGGUAGAAUUCCCGGUGUAGCGGUGAAAUGCGUAGAGAUCGGGAGGAAUACCAGUGGCGAAGGCGGCCUUCUGGACUGACACUGACGCUGAGGUGCGAAAGCGUGGGUAGCAAACAGGAUUAGAUACCCCUGUAGUC